GACUCGUGAUUGGCUGCUGCGCUUCAGCGUGUUAUUACUGUCUGAUUUGAUCGGAGGCAGGGGGUGGUCUCCAAUCAAACAGAGAAAAGGUCCUGGAGAAGAUGUAUCUUUAAAGCUGUCCUGCUGAAUUGGAAGUCCCUGGAGGGCAGAACUGGCACCCUGUUCAAUCUGGAAUGCCCAGAAAUUCAAUCAACAGAAGUCAGUAUUGAUUUCACACCCUCCUGGACCCCUAUUUGAGUCUCUGUGUGGUGGCCCCUCUCCCCGGAAGUGAAGUCUUCCAGACUAUGAAUCUAUGAGCUAGAAGACAGCUGGGACAGCAAAUUCUUGACUCGCUUAUCAUCAUGUUCCCUUUCCAUGGUCAGCCCAGACUCUGGGCUCCAUCACAACACACUAGUCUGUUCAGCAUGGAGUACCUUUUUUGCCUCUUCUAGUCCAGCCAUCCAGGCAAAUCAAUCAAUACACUAAUUUUAAACACAGAAAACCUAAAGGACACUUAAAUGUAAUUUUAUCAAGAGGAAGGAGAAAAUUGAUUUUGUACAUGCCCAACCUCUGUCUUAACUGAUACAAAGAUUUCAAAGGAACAAUGUUCAAUUUUAAGUGGCAAUUCAUAAGUGACCCAUCGUGUCAAGCUGGAGAGCAGGAGGGACACCCAGCUUUUUAAAGCGAGCUUAUCAAUCACUGUAUCCCGAAUAAGCAUCUUCAUCCCAGCUACAGAAAAUAGAAGGCUGUAGAAAAGAACAGGAGGCUAGCCAUGCUUUCAACCUUAUUUUAAAGUAAUUAUAUGAAAAAAGUCUGUGUUUAUAAACUAAUAAAUUAUACACUUUUAAAAUGUU
rnacentral:lncRNA from 1 species